rnacentral:rRNA from 1 species
GUAGUCAUACGCUUGUCUCAAAGAAUAAGCCAUGCAUGUGUAAGUAUAAAUAGUUAUCUGAGAAACUGAGAAUGGCUCAUUAUAUCAGUUAUAGUUUAUGUGAAGAGGAAUACUAAGUGGAUAGCCGUAGUAAUUGUAGAGAUAAUACAUGUAUAAAGUCGUGGAGACGGCAUUUAUUGGAAGGAAACCCAUAGGUUUGGCCUGAUUGUUGAGUAAUAAUACCUAAUCAUAUGCAAUGCUAAUGUAGCGAUGAGUCUUUCAAGUUUCUGCCCUAUCAGC